UCACUGGCUCUUUUCAGAGCCACCAUACUUCAAGCUGGUCAUUGAC
rfam:Operophtera brumata OBRT01_Sc05801, whole genome shotgun sequence.